rnacentral:rRNA from 1 species
UACGGGGGGGGCAAGCGUUGUUCGGAAUUACUGGGCGUAAAGGGCGCGUAGGCGGUUGGAUAAGUCAGCUGUGAAAACCACGGGCUUAACUCGUGGCCUGCAGUUGAGACUGUCUGGCUUGAGUGUGGGAGAGGAGAGUGGAAUUCCUGGUGUAGCGGUGAAAUGCGCAGAUAUCAGGAAGAACACCCGUGGCGAAAGCGGCUCUCUGGAACGGUACUGACGCUGAGACGCGAAAGCGUGGGGAGCGAACAGG